UGGCUCUAAAGUUGCACGCUAAGUGUUCGAGAUAUUGCCUGAAUGAGUAGACUUCAAUUGAUUUUAUGUGCACUUGGCCGCUGACCCAGGUUGAAUGAUGCCAUAUGUUUCGGACUAUACGAAGAUUCCAACCUGGUUAUCAUCAGGAUGUCUAAUUGGAUAUGUUGAUAAGGUACUUAAAAGCUAUAUGCCAACUUCUUUCGAAUUUGUUUGUGCUUAAGACUUUGUGAACUUAUUUA